rnacentral:rRNA from 1 species
AUACAGAGGGUGCGAGCGUUAAUCGGAAUUACUGGGCGUAAAGCGCGCGUAGGCGGUUAUUUAAGUCAGAUGUGAAAUCCCUGGGCUCAACCUAGGAACCGCAUCUGAAACUGGGUAACUAGAGUUUAGGAGAGGGGAGUAGAAUUUCGGGUGUAGCGGUGAAAUGCAUAGAGAUCCGAAGGAAUACCAGUGGCGAAGGCGACUCCCUGGACUCGAACUGACGCUGAGGUACGAAAGCGUGGGUAGCAAACGGGAUUAGAUACCCUUGUAGUCC